rnacentral:rRNA from 1 species
AGUGAACGCUGGCGGUAGGCCUAACACAUGCGAGUCGAACGGCAGCACAGUAAGAGCUUGCUCUUACGGGUGGCGAGUGGCGGACGGGUGAGGAAUACAUCGGAAUCUACUUUUUCGUGGGGGAUAACGUAGGGAAACUUACGCUAAUACCGCAUACGACCUACGGGUGAAAGCAGGGGAUCUUCGGACCUUGCGCGAUUGAAUGAGCCGAUGUCGGAUUAGCUAGUUGGCGGGGUAAAGGCCCACCAAGGCGACGAUCCGUAGCUGGUCUGAGAGGAUGACCAGCCACACUGGAACUGAGACACGGUCCAGACUCCUACGGGAGGCAGCAGUGGGGAAUAUUGGACAAUGGGCGCAAGCCUGAUCCAGCCAUACCGCGUGGGUGAAGAAGGCCUUCGGGUUGUAAAGCCCUUUUGUUGGGAAAGAAAAGCAGCAGGUUAAUACCCCGCUGUUCUGACGGUACCCAAAGAAUAAGCACCGGCUAACUUCGUG